AAACUUGAGAGUUUGAUCAUGGCUCAGAACGUACGCUGGCGGCACGCCUAACACAUGCAAGUCGAACGAAGUAGCAAUACUUAGUGGCAGACGGGUGAGUAACAUGUAGGUAUCUACCCUAUGGCCUGGAAUAACACGAGGAAACUUGUGCUAAUACCGGAUAAGUCUUUACAGAGAAAGCUUUAUGCACCAUUGGAUGAGCCUGCACUUGAUUAGUUUGUUGGUGGGGUAAUGGCCUACCAAGACUGUGAUCAAUAGCUGAUUUGAGAGGAUGAUCAGCCACAUUGGGACUGAGACACGGCCCAAACUCCUACGGGAGGCAGCAGUGGGGAAUCUUGCACA
rnacentral:rRNA from 1 species